GCCCGGAUGGCGAAAACGGAAAACGCGGUGGCCUUAAAAGCCAGCCAACUGUGGGUUCGAGUCCCACUCCGGGCA
rnacentral:tRNA from 1 species